rnacentral:rRNA from 1 species
AGUGAACGCUGGCGGUAGGCCUAACACAUGCAAGUCGAACGGCAGCACAGAGGAGCUUGCUCCUUGGGUGGCGAGUGGCGGACGGGUGAGGAAUACAUCGGAAUCUACUCUGUCGUGGGGGAUAACGUAGGGAAACUUACGCUAAUACUGCAUACGACCUACGGGUGAAAGCAGGGGAUCUUCGGACCUUGCGCGAUUGAAUGAGCCGAUGUCGGAUUAGCGAGUUGGCGGGGUAAAGGCCCACCAAGGCGACGAUCCGUAGCUGGUCUGAGAGGAUGAUCAGCCACACUGGAACUGAGACACGGUCCAGACUCCUACGGGAGGCAGCAGUGGGGAAUAUUGGACAAUGGGCGCAAGCCUGAUCCAGCCAUACCGCGUGGGUGAAGAAGGCCUUCGGGUUGUAAAGCCCUUUUGUUGGGAAAGAAAUCCAUCUGGUUAAUACCCGGGUGGGAUGACGGUACCCAAAGAAUAAGCACCGGCUAACUUCGUGCCAGCAGCCGCCGUAA